AUUGAACGCUGGCGGCAUGCCUUACACAUGCAAGUCGAACGGCAGCACGGGAGCAAUCCUGGUGGCGAGUGGCGAACGGGUGAGUAAAGUAUCGGAACGUGCCCAGUCGUGGGGGAUGACGUAGCGAAAGUUACGCUAAUACCGCAUACGAUCUAUGGAUGAAAGCGGGGGAUCGCAAGACCUCGCGCGAUUGGAGCGGCCGAUAUCAGAUUAGGUAGUUGGUGGGGUAAAGGCUCACCAAGCCGACGAUCUGUAGCUGGUCUGAGAGGACGACCAGCCACACUGGGACUGAGACACGGCCCAGACUCCUACGGGAGGCAGCAGUGGAGAAUUUUGGACAAUGGGCGCAAGCCUGAUCCAGCCAUGCCGCGUGCAGGAUGAAGGCCUUCGGGUUGUAAACUGCUUUUGUACGGAACGAAAAGGUUUGACUUAAUACGUUGGACUCAUGACGGUACCGUAAGAAUAAGCACCGGCUAACUACGUGCCAGCCGCCGCGGUAA
rnacentral:rRNA from 1 species